rnacentral:misc_RNA from 1 species
UUUUUAAAAUAAUGUAAUAAAUUUCAUUAUCAUGUCUACCGCAGAUUUAGAUGAAAAACAACAGACAGUGACCCGUUGGAUUGUGGAAUAUGCAGUUUUCGUGGUUUGGAAUGAUUUCGUGAAGCAUAAAACAGUUGAUCGGAACAAUAACAGGGACCUUAUACAAUGGAUAGCUGGGCAGAUAAUAACAGGAAAGAGAGAGAUUCAACAGUCAUAUCUGAUGUCCUUGUUGUGUCGACUGAACGAUGGGAGGAAUUACAUGAUAAGGUACAACGAGGAUUCUAUACUAACCGUCCUAGAGGAUGCAGCAGAGGUCUUGCAGAUUCUUAUCAAAGACAUCAAACCUCCUCUGUACAAAGAAGGACAGGACUUUCUAAAGGCCAUGAGGCAGGAGGCUGUUUAUGUUUGCUGUAGAGCUAACAAUUUUGAUGAUGCAAAAGAGGUUUUUAAUCGCCAGUUUUCAUCGAGCGCUGAUAAAGGGGCAGAAGACAAAGAGCACAAUAAACAAGAAAUCCAAAAAAUGUUGAAGACCAAAAAUCCACAACAUCAUUUACUGACAUCACAUGAAUACGACGAUUUUCUGCUGAAAGCCCAGAAUUUCUUGAAGCAUUUUGUUAACACAGGAAAACCGUCUCUUUUGAAGGUAUGCUUCAUUUGUUCCGAGGAUGAGAGGAGAAUUUCCUCAAUUUAUUCCUCAAUGUUCAUUUGCUGCCUAUGCACAUCUUUUGAGUAAAAAUAUCAAAUCCUACAAGCAGAAAAGUUGCUCAUGUAUCUCAGAUAUACAAUGUAUUGUAAUUCAUGGCUCACCAAAACAAAGUCAAGUAAUAGCUUAUGCUGCAUUACAGUAUACCCUGGUAACAGUAUCAGUGGUUUUGAAGCAAUUCCUUUAUCUAACUUGUAACAGGUCCCGACAUAACUAAAUUUGCAUGAAUGGUGAAUUUCAGGGUACUUAUUGGCCUUGAUGCUGAAUCUAAUCUGAAUUCAGAUUAAUGUUUUGGAUUAGGUUAAAGUUUUUUGAGUAGUCUCAUGAUGGCCAUACACCUAUGUAAUUCUCACGCUGUAUCAGAUAUUCUCAUAAAAGUCAUACAUGUACAAUUUUUUAUGCUCUGGUUUUCUCUUCUUUUGUUUUCCGUUUUUACAGUAAAAGUUAUUUUUACAGAUGGCAGAGAGUAGACAAGAUCAUACAACUGCUGACCCGAUAUGUAGAGACAAGUAUGUUGAAACUGUUUCUAAUGCACUCGUGGAUUUAAUUGGAACAAAAAGGGCCCAAGGCAGAUAAUACAUGCAGUGCAAACGCUCUUUUAUAUAAUUGACUGUGACCUAUAUCUGUUUUUAGGCGAGUGAAUUUGGGAUCUUUGAUGAAAGUUUGUGAUGAAAUGGGUGUAUCAAAAGAAAGUUCUUGGCCAAACUUCAUGGAACAGAGAGCUCUAAAAGAACAUUUACAACAGGUAAAUCAAGAGAAAAAGAAACAGUCAAACACCAACAUCAAUGCUAAUGCAGCAUCAACACCAACAAAAGAAUGCAGUCCAAAAAAGAGGAAACAUGCGGCAGUUGAUGAAUCAAGAAUGGAUACGUCAUUGGCAUCAAGAGUUCAGGAAAAUAGCAAUCUUAAUCCAUAUGUAAUUCUGAAUGCUGAAUUGCCACAACUACAAACCAAAAUCAAUGAAAAGUCCCCCACUAAAUCCCUUCCUUCCCCAGGAAAGCUCCGUAACCCAUGGUUAGAGGCUGAAGUGAAUGAAUUCUACCAAGCGGUACAGAUCUUCGGCAUUGGAAACUGGAGUCGCAUUAAGAAUGCCAUGAGGACAUACAGAACCAAUGUACAACUGAAGGACAAAUGGAGAACUAUACUCAAGACAGGGGAGAUCAACAGACUGAAAAAGCUCUUUGGAGAUGUUAAAAAAUAAGGAGAAAAAGAUUAUCAAGUAGUAAAUAAAAUUGUCAACCUUAUUGUAAAAACGAACAACAAAUGAAGAGCAGUUCUUAAAUUAUGGGAAGUUAAGACUGAAUAAGCUCUUAAGAAAAGAGAGAGGGGAUAUUUUAAAGACUUUUUAAUGUAUUUUACAAAAUGGUUGUUUAAAAUAAGAUUAAACUUUUAUG